UGUACAUGCUUUGAACUUCACGGCUGGUGGUUGUAAUGGGAUGGAGGGUUUAAACUCAGGCUUCAGUGAUGCUGAAGCCCGCGUCCCUUCCACUCUGUUAUUCUUCUUUUCCACUGAGCGGGAACUGGGUGAAGUGGAAUUCGGCUUGUUUCUUAGGAGGAGGGCGGCGGAAAGCCUUUCUCUCUUUUCCCCUUAGGCCACAGGGGCCAGCUGGCGGAGGUGGUUCACUGACUCGGAGUGAACGGAAAACUGGGUCAUGCGCUGCCAGGAGCCUGCAUUCCUGUUUAACUGGCUGGCGAGUGCUUUCUUUGUGUUUGUUUACUUAUGGCGAGUUCUGACAAAUAAAAUGGAUUCUUUUCUUGGCCUCGUCACUUGGGAAGAGCAAGCCGUGGUGUUUUAGUGGCAGGAGUGCAGGACUGAAGAUGCCUGGGAUUUGGAAAAUCUCCGAGUACGUGGUGCAGAAGGGACCCUUGACUUUAGCGGCAAGAGCAUAUGGGUGGUGGCUUCCCAGUCACGCCCACGGAAUCGGACGUGGCCUUGUCACUGUGCUGUGUCCAUGCACCCUCCCGCUGCACCUCCAAACCUUCAUUUCUCCAGCUGAUCCCCUGGGAGGGUCCUGGCCGGUCAACAAGCAUGGAUUUAUCAAGCUCCCUCUGGAUAAAAGACUGAGGCUGGGCGCGGUGGCUCAUGCCUGUAAUCCCAGCACUUCAGGAGGCCGAGGCGGGCAGAUCACGAGGUCAAGAGAUCGAGAUCAGCCUGGCCAACAUGGUGAAACCCCGUCUCUACUAAAAAUACAAAAAAUUAGCUGGGCGUGGUGGCGUGUGUCUGUAAUCCCAGCUACUCGGGAGGUUGAGGCAGGAGAAUUGCUUGAACCCGGGAGGUGGAGGUUGCAGUGAGCCGAGAUUGCACCACUGCACUCCAGGCUGGCAACAGAGUGAGAUUCUGUCUCAAAAAAAAAAAAAAAAGUAGACUGGGCGUGGUGGCCCAUGCCUGUAAUUUUACCACUUUGGGAGACCAAGAUAGGUGCAUCAUUUGAGGCCAGGAGUUUGAGACCAGCUUAGCCAAUGUGGCGAAACCCCGUUUCUACUAAAAAUACAAAAAUUGGCUGGACAUGGUGGCGCAUGUUUGUAGCUGCAGCUACUAUGGCGGUUGAGUCACGAGAAUCGCUCGAACCUGGGAGACAGGCUGCAGUGAACCAAGAUCGCGCCACUGCACUCCAGCCUGGGCGACAGAGUGAGACUGUCUCAAAAAUAAAAUAAAAUGGCCGGGAGCCGUGGCUUACGUCUGUAAUCCCAGCACUUUGGGAGGCCGAGGCAGGCAGAUCACCUGAGGUCUGGAGUUCGAGACCAGCCUGGCCAAUAUGGUGAAACCCUGUCUCUACUAAAAAUAAAAAAAUUAGCCAGGCAUGGUGGCACACGCCUGUAAUUCCAGCCACUCGGGAGGCUGAGAUAGUAGAAUCCCUUCAACCUGGGAGGCGGAGGUUGCAGUGAGCCAAGAUCGCACCAUUGCACUCCACCCUGGGCCACAAGAGUGGUCUCAAAAAAAUAAAAAUACCUGGCUAGGCACCGUGGCCUCUGCCUGUCAUCCCAGUGCUUUGGGAGGUAGAGGCAGGCAGAUCACUUGAGCCCAGGAGUUUGAGACCAGCCUGGGCAACAUAGUGAGACCCCACCCAUGCCUACGGAAAAUUAGACACUAGCGUGAUGGUGUGUGUUUGUAAUCCUGGCUACUCAUGAGGCCGAGGUUGGGGGAUCGCUUGAGUGUAGGAUUUCAAGUCCAGCCUGGGCCACGUAGCAAGACCCUGUCUCUUAAAAAAACAAAACAACCCAGACCUGGAAGUCUUAAGCCUUGUUAGUCUCCAUCCAAACCUUGGCUGAUCGUUACAGGACACGUCAACCUAAGCAAGACCCUUUCCUGGGCCCCUCUCUCUCACACCGUUUCAUCCCACCCCAGAGGCCUGACUCAGCACUGCUUGGUCUUAGAUGUCCUGCUUCUUGCUACAGAUGCCCCAGGCCAGAUUCUUCCUUCCUUUCACACAUACUUUAUUCUUCCAUGUCCUCAGCUGAGUGUUUGGGUGAAAACCCAGACUUUGUUUGGCUCCCUAGGUUCUGGAUUGGUGAUUGGAGUAAGGAUGCUUCAGAGCCAUUCACGUUCUAGAUACAUGUUUUAUCAGGACGUCCAGAGCUGUUGGGAUCAGUCUUCAGCUCUGGUUGUGUGUUAAUUCCUGAGGGGCAGUCCCCCCGGUUCUGGUAACUGAACAUGUGGGUUCCCCAUUCAGCAGGCUCCACUUCCCUGCCAGGUGGCUAGAGAAGGAAACGAGGGCCCAGAAGAUGUUCUAGAGAGUCAAUGGAUGGGGACCCAGCCAGCCUGUGCCCAGUCCACCUGACAUCUCUGUGUCCAGCGUGUUGCCCUUCCCCUGGACAGUGUCAGACACGCUUCUGUCACACACUUUUGUGAGCCCUGGUUUUCUCUACUUCUUGCUGACCAUGCCCUACAGUCAUCGUCCGUAGUUUCCCAAAUCUCUGUUGUUUUUUUGCACUAUUAUUAUUAUUUUGAUAUGGAGUCUUGAUCUGUCACCAGGCUGGAGUGCAGUGGUGCAGUCAUACCUUACUGUCACCUCGAACCUCUGGGUUCAAGGGAUCCUCCCACCUCAGCCUCCCAAGUAGCUAGGACUCCAGGUGCACGGCACACCACACAGAUAAGUUUUAUUUUUGUCUUUUAGUAGAGGCGAGGCUGCACUAUGUUGCUCAGGCUGGUCUCAAACUCCCGACCUCAGGUGAUCACUGACCUCGGCCUCCCAAAGUGGUGGGAUUACAGGUGUGAGCCGCCGUGCCUGGCCCUGUGUGUCUGUCUUUAGAUCUUAUGACUUUGCUGCCCUGCGUCUGUACAAUUUGGGAUCAUUAGCCCUGAAAUCUGUGUUCUGUGAGCCUUCCUCGUUUCUGUCCUCUUGGCACCAGCUUGGCUUCAUGGAGAGGGGACCAGAGGGUCUCCUCAGGGUCUCCUGUCUUGGGAGGAGCCUUGGUUUCUUAGCCAGGGGUGUUUAUGGCCAGCUUCUUUCUUUCCUUAGCCUAAGGUCACAAAGGUGGUCCAGGAGGGGUUAGAGCUGUGGAUGUUGUGGAAAUCUGAGGCCUGUGCUGGUUCAGCUCCAAGAACAAGGGCUGGGCUUUUUCAGGGGAAGAGAAGGGAGGCCUCUGUGAACAGGAUGUUUCUGUGUCUCGGAAACUCAGAUUCAGUAAGAGAGAGUCAGCAUUGUCUUCCUCCAGCCUUUCCCUCCUGGCCUAGCUACCACCAUUGCUGCCUGAGCUAGUGUGGAGGGUGAAGGGAUGGGCAGGAGAGAUGGGAAACAGGUCCCUGGUGUGUGAGUGUUUUUUUCUUUUCAUUUAAAACUAGGAAGUUGGCUAGGUGUAGCGGUUCAUGCCUGUAAUCCCAGCACUUUGGGAGGCUGAGGUGGGAGGAUCUCUUGAGUCCAGAAGUUCAAGACCAGCCUGGGAACAUAGAGAGACUACCCCCCAUCUCUAUAAAAAAUAAAUUGAAAAAAAAAAUAGCUGGGUGUGGUGGCAUGUGCCCAUAGUCCCAGCUACUCAGGAGGCUGAAGUGGGAGGAUCACUUGAAGCCAGGAAUUCGAAACCAGCCUGGGCAACAGAACAAGACCUUCACACACGCACGCAUGCACACACAUACGUGGAGGCACCAGGCCGAGGGACAGCUAGGAGAGAGACUUCUGAGAAUAAGUAAUGCUUGAUCCAAGUGGUAAGGGAAUUUCAGCAGGUGGACAGGUGCAAAUACAGAGGUGGGAAGGGAACAGAAUUGGGAACAUGGUGCCAGGGGUAGUGGUAACAGCCAGAACAUGGAGGGUUCAACUGCCUUUGCUUGCCUUGCUGAGGAGUUUGGCCUUUAUCCUCAGGGUGAGCCAGGGCAGCAGAAGGAUGUGAAACAAAGGCUUGUUGUUUUUGGGUAAGAAUAGAUUGGAGGGGAGCCAGACUGGAAAUGGACAGGAGGCAGUUAUAGUGACUCCAGGUAUACUGACCCUGGGUCCAAACUCCAGAUAUACUGACCUUGGGUCCACACUCCAGUUAUAGUGACCCUGGAUCCAAACUACAGUUAUACUGACCCUGGAUCCAAACUGCAGUUAUAGUGACCCUGAAUCCAAACCACAUGUGAGGCCAGGCGCACAGUGGCUCAUGACCAUAAUCCCAGCACUUUGGGAGGCCAAGGUGGGCAGAUCUCCUGAGAUCAGGAGUUCAAGACCAGCCUGGCCAACAUGGCAAAACGCUGUCUCUACUAAACAUACAAAAAAUAGCCAGGUGUGGUGGCAGGCUCCUAUAAUCAUAGCUACUUGGGAAGCUGAGGCAGGAGAAUCGCUUGAACCCAGGAGGCGGAGGUUACAGUGAGCUGAGAUUGCACCAUUGCACUCCAGCCUGGGUGACAGAACGAGACUUCGUCUCAAACAAAACAACACAAAACACAAAAGAAACCCUUCCAAUUGAGGUAGAGUGGAGACCUCAUUCAGGAGCUGUCUGGAAAGUGAGCAGAAGCGAGGUGGAGAGAAGCAUGUGGAAGGUUUCUGCUUUGGGACCCUGGGUAGAGGGCAGUUGGGUCCCUUCAUGGAAAUGAGGAGCAAUAGCAGAGAAAGGUCGGGGGAGGCCGCCAUGUGCGGAAGGUGGCUGUGGUCAGGAGGUGGCCCCUGAGCUCACUCUGGAACUCUCAGUUACCUGGCUCUCGAUGAGAUGAGGACAAACUAUUUUCUUCUCCCUGGAGUUUUUUUUUGGGGGGGGAUUUAAUUUAAUGCAGUAAAAUUCAGGGUUCUUAAGUACCCAGCUCGCUGUGUUUGAACAACUGUUACACCUACGUAAACAACCAUCCAAACAAGAUGCAGAACUUUUCCAUCUCUGUGCAGAGUCCCCCGCUGCGUCUGAUAUUAGUAUAUCAGCUUUCGAUACCCUGUCCGGUGACGCCCCUCCCACCCACCACUCAGUCCCCGUUCAAGAACCAUGGAAAUGGAAUCAUGCAGUCCGUGUCCUUUUGUGUCUGGCAUAAUCGGAGGUUCCUCCUUGUUUUUGGUUGUAUCACUGUGUUCCUUCUUAUUGCUGAGACAUAUUCCCUUGGAUGGACGUGUUGUCACAAUGUAUCCAUUCUUCCAGUGAUGUGUGUGUAAGCUGUUUUCAGUUUGGGGUGGGCAAGGCUGUUAUAAACAAACAUUUUUAUGGACUAAAAACAAUUUUAUCUUGAGUAAAUACUGAUAAGUCGGAAGACUGAGGGCAGAUUACUGAGGAGAUGAUGGGGUAAAGGAACAUUUAUCUUCGUAAGACAGACCAAACAGGUCUUCAAAGCAGUUGUGCUGACCAGGCAUGGUGGCUCACACCUGUAAUCCCAGCACUUUGGGAGGCCAAGGCAGGCAGAUUGCUUGAGCCCAGGUGUUUGAGAGCAGCCUGAGCAACAUGGCAAAACCCCAUCUCUACAAAAGCUUUUAAAAAUUAGCUGGAUGUGGUGACACACGCCUGUAAUUCCCAGCUACUUUGAGGUAGGAGGAUGACCUGAGCCUGGGAAUGUGGAGGCCUCAGUGAACCAAAGUGGCACCUACUCCAGCCUGGGCAACAGUGAGAUCCUGUCUCAACAGCAACCAGGGAGUGUGGCUACCAUUUACCUCCCACCUGCGGUGCGUGAGAGUCCUGUUUCCCCCCAGUGUGAAAUAGUUUUAAUUUGCAUUUCCUUGAUGAUUAAAGAUGUUGAACACCUUUGCAUAUUCUUCCUGGUUGCCCAAGUAUCUACUUUCUGGAAGUGUCUGUCCUUAUCUGUUGCCUAUUUUUUACUGAGUUUUUCAUAUUUUUAGUGUUGACUUAUAAGAGUUCUUUUUUUUUUUUUUUUUGAGACAGUCUCACUCUGUCACCAUUGGAGUGAAAUGGCUCAGUCUCAUCUCACUGCAACCUCUGCCUCCUGGGUUCAAGCAAGUCUCCUGUCUCAGCCUCCUAAGUAGCUGGGAUUACAGGCGUGUGCCACCAUGCCCAGCUUAUUUUUGUAUUUUUAGUGGAGACAGGGUUUCACCACAUUGGCCAGGAUGGUCUUGAUCUCUUGACCUUGUGAUCCGCCUGCCUCAGCCUCCCAAAGUGCUGGGAUUACAGGCAUGAGCCACUGUGCCCGGCUGAGAGUUAUUUAUAUAGUCUGGGUAUGAAUUCUUUGUUAAAGAUAUAUUAGUAUAUCAGCUUUCGAUACUCUACUAUCUAUCUGUAUGUAUAUAUAUUAUACAUUAUUUUUUGUUUUAAUAUCACUUGUUUCUGACUAUCCUGAGGCACUAAGCACUGGGGGGAUUUUCAUGUCAGGAAAUUGUGAGAUGGAAGGUGCUUUGGUUAUGACAAGGAUUUCUUUCUGUUGUUGAAGGAUGGCAUGGGAGGCGUGUUGACCGUUGGUCUAGGCUGGGACUGGAGCUGAGCAGAGCUCAGGUGGGCGUGUGAGGCUCUGAUUCAGGAGACAGGUUGAUUUGAGAUGCGGUAGAGCUCUUCCCCAGCUGUAGAAAAGCCGGUUUUAGAGCCUUUUCAAAGGACUGUUUCAUUGCCUGAGUUGGAGGAAACAGUGAUAAAUUGGCGACCUCGGAUUUGGAAGGAGUCUCACUGCCCAUCACCCGGCCGCUGUGGGUCUUAGCCGUAACACUUCCUCCACACCUGCGGGCAUUCAGCUGCCUCCUCAGUUUAUUUCAAAGCAAAUCCCAAAUCUGUUUCCAUCGUCAGUGUCUUGGUCUGUAUUUCUAGAAGAUAAGGACUCUUCAAAAACACACUACCCAAAAUGCCACCAUCACACCUUAAAAAUGAAUACUAAUUCCUUCAUAACACUUUGCUUUUUACAGUUUAUUUCUUUGCAAGACCUUGGUCUGAGUUUCUCUCACCCCUGCCUGAAGACACGCUCGCUACUUCUCUGUCCUUACUGGCUCUUUGAACUCGCCUGCAGGUUCUUUGUUCUUGGAGGUACACAGCGACGUUCUGUCAGUCCUCCUGGCUGCUUCCCUGUCCCUUUUAUUUUGAGACAGAGUUUCCCCCUCAUUGCUCAGGCUGGAGUACAAUGGUGUGAUCUUGGCUCACUACAACCUCCACCUUCCAAGUUCAAGCAGUUAUACUGCCUCAGCCUCCCAAGUAGCUGGGAUUACAGUCAUGCACUACCACACCCAGCCAAUUUUGUAUUUUUAGCAGAGACAGGGUUUUACCAUAUUGGUCAGGCUGGUCUUGAACUCCCUACCUGAGGUGAUCCACCUGCCUCAGCCUCCCACAGUGCUGGGAUUAUAGGCGUGAGCCACCACGCCCAGCCAAUUUUGUAUUUAGUAGAGACGGGUUUCUCUCUCCAUGUUGGUCAGACUGGUCUAGAACUCCCAACCUUAGGUGAUCCACCCGCCUUAGCCUCCCACAGUGCUAGAAGUACAGGCGUGAGCCUCCGCGCCCAGCCCUGUUCCCUUUUUUCUCUUGAAAAAUAUUGUGUGACGUAUACCAUAGAAAAGUGCACCAAACAGACAGGUCCAGGUGAGUGUGUUAUUGUCAGCAGACUCUGUGCAGUAGCAUCUGAGGAAGAAAUGAACUGGGACAGGCCUCGGAUCCACUGCGUGCACUUCCUGGGCACAGCGCCUUCCUCUUCAUUGGAGGAACCGUCGCCCCAACUUCCGUGGUUAUCCUUCCUCGCUUCCCUUGAUACUUUUCAGUUGACGUGUGCUUCUCUGAACACUCCAGUUGUGCAUGUUUGGAGCGUUACAUAAAUAGAAUUAUUUGUUUCUUCUUCUUUUUUUUUUGAUACAGGGUCUCACUCUGUCGCCUGGGCUGGGGUGCAGUGGCACAAUCACAGCUCACUGUUGCCUUGACCUCCAGGGCUCAGUCCCUCACAAGUAACUGGUACUACAGACAUGCACCACCACACCCGCCUAGUUUUUUGUGUGUGUAUUUUUUGUAGAGAUGGGGUUUUGCUCUGUUACCCAGGCUGGUCUUGAACUCCUGGACUCAAGCAGUCCGCAUGUCUUGGCCUCUCAAAGUGCGGGGAUGACAGGCUGAGCCACUGUUCAUUUUAACGAAGUCCAGUUUGACUUUUCAUUUCAGGAGGUACUUGUGUGUCAUGAGAAGCACCCUCCCAGCUUCCCUGAGGCCUUCUUUCCCCCUGAGUUUUCUCUCUCACACUUUGUUGUCUUGUAGAAGCAUCGUGGUUCUGCCAUUCAUCUUUUGGGCACCCUUUUGCCUUUCAGGCCAAUUCUUAGUCUUUUUCCAGGAAGGCAUUCCACACCCAUCAGAUCAGCCGCCCUUCAGACCCCUUGGCUCCUGCCUGCAGUAGGGAAAGCUUUCUGCUUGUUUAGAGUUUGCACUCCUCGGGCCAGGCCUCAGCAUCCUGCCAUGGGUGGAUUGAGAGGGACAAAGACGUUGGCAGAGAUUUGAGCCCCCGGAGCUGGUCAGCCCCUUGGAGCCCCAGCCCAGGCUGUGGGAUUCUCAGAGGAGGCCUUCAUUUCUGUCCGUGCUAUUAGCAGACCAACUGCUCUACUUGGUUUCAGGUUGGAAGUAUCUGUCCUUCAGAGUUAACUUACUCUUUUGGCUAAAAGCAGGCUCUGCACCUACAUGUGUGUAAGGACUUUGACUGACCGGUCUCCAGCCCUGCCUGCUGCUUUUUCCUCUGGGCAGAUGUCCUCGGGUGUGUCGGUCUGCUCAGGGGCACUUGGAAAACUCUGGGUUUUCUGUGGCCUAUUUUGAGUCUGAUUAUUUGGCUUUAAUCAGAAAAAUAAACUUAUUUAUUUUUAAAUAUUUUUAUUUAAAUAAACCCGGCUAGGUUCAAACAGGCUUUUUUAACUGGACCACAUGUGAAUGGCGGGGAAUGGUGGCCUGUUGGGGAAAUGGGUCAUUUCCAAGGGUCUCUCUCCAGGAAAAGUGUGACUUGGUAGUUUACUGAGAAAGGCUCAAGCAGGCCACAAGAAGUACUUAAAACAUUUUCUCCUUUUAUGUGGCUCUAAUCACAGUCUUAUCAUAAGCCCCAGCCCUGGUAGUUAAUCCAAGUUAUUUAAUUAAAUCCUUUUAUUUUAUAGAUGAGGAAAUGGGGAGACACCUCCCUCAGUUCUCCACCCCUGGCGCCCUGGUGUGAUUUGCUGAAGGUUGGGUGUUUGGGAGCUGUUUUCAGAGAGCAGGAUUGGGAGUGAUGCCCUGACUGAGGAAAAAGGCCUUUUUUUCUUUCACUAAAACAAUCAUUUAAAAAAAAUUGCUGUGAUCUCACAAAUUUUAAAUUCCUUUAAUGAAACCUCACCCUUGAACUUGAUACAUUAGAAGCUUUGCUUGGAAUGAAGUGGAAUUUCCAUUCUUAACCGCUGCGAGGUUCUGCUUUCAGAAGGAGUUGGGAUCUGUGUCAUUUUCUUAGUCACUUUCUUCAUGGACCCGCAGUGUCUUCACCACAGCGGGCAUUGUGGUUAUAUUCCAUACCUGUGAGAGAAGUUUCUAGAGGCCUUUGGCUUGAAACGCGCAUGUACUCAGCCAUGUUCUUUCCUUCUGAGCCUUCUUUUGUUGCUGUGACCUGCUGGAGGCUAGAAAGAGACACCUGCAGAAAAUUUCACCCCACCAACUACCCCCGACCAGCUUCCCCCCACCCCACUCCUCCUCCACUUGCUCCUCCCACACUGGUUCCCCCCUACCAGCUCCCCUCCUGCCUGGCGACUGGCGACUGCCUCCCCUACCCACCACCUCCCCCACACUGGAUCCCCUCCCCACCACCUCCCCCUCACUGGCUCCCCUCCCCACCGGCUCCCCACACUGGCUCCCCUCCCCACCACCGUCUGUGCCCCCACCGGCUCCCCUCCCUACCACCUUACCUUACCACCACCUCUCCUCCCUACCACCUUCCCUCCUCACCACCUCUCUUCCCUACCACCUUCCCUCCCCACCACUCUCCUCCCUACCACCUUCCCUCCUCACCACCUCUCCUCCCUACCACCUUCCCUCCCCACCACCCUCCUCCCUACCACCUUCCCUCCUCACCACCUUUCCUCCCUACCACCUUCCCUCCCCACCACCUCUCCUCCCUACCACCUUCCCUCCCCACCACUCUCCUCCCUACCACCUUCCCUCCUCACCACCUCUCCUCCCUACCACCUUCCCUCCCCACCACCUCUCCUCCCCACCCCACCCCCACUGGCUCCCCUCCCUACCACCUUCCCCCCUACCAUCUCCCCUCCUCACCAGCUCCGCCCCAACUGGCUCCCCACCCCACCGGCUCCCCACCAACCUCCCCCAGCUGGAGUGUAGUUGUGCAAUCUCAGCUCACUGCAGCCUCCACCUCCUGGGCUCGAGCAAUUCUCCUGCCUCAGCCUCGCAAGUAGCUGGGAUUACAGGCACCUGCCACCACACCUGGCUAAUUUUGUAAUUUUAGUAGAGAUGGGGUUUCACCAUGUUGUCCAGUCUGGUCUCAAACUCCCGACCUCAGGUGAUCCACCCUCCUUGGCCUCCCAAAGUGCUGGGAUUACAGGCGUGAGCCACUGCACCUGGGCUGUCUACCCAUUCUUUCACUAAUUUGUUCUUUAAACACAUACUAGAGCUUCUAACUGGUUCUACUUUUUUUUUUUUUUUUUGAGGCGACAUCUAACUCUGUUGCCCAGGCUGGAGUGUAGCGGCACCAUCUGGGCUCACUGCAACCUCCACCUCCCCGGUUCAAGCAAUUCUGCUGCCACAGCCUUCCGAGGAGCUGGGAUUACAGGUGCCCACCGCCACACCCGGCUAAUUCGUUGUAUCUUUAGUAGAGAUGGGGUUUCAUCCUAGUGGCCAGGCUGGUCUUGAUCUCCUGACCUGGUGAUCCAACCACCUCGGCCUCCCAGAGUGCUGGGAUUACAGGAGUGAGCCACCGCACCCGGCCUGGCCUCAUUUCUCAUUUCUAGUAGUUUGUGGCCAGGACGUCAUGAAUUGGAGCCCUAUUUGUUAGUCCCGGGGGCUCCAGCCUCCUCCACAGCUGCCGAACCCUCCCUAGCAGCCUCCAAGGCCUGUUUUACAGUCUGGAGAAACUAGUCCUGGCUCUGCCUGCCUCUGUCCUGCUCCUGUCCCGCUCCUGUCUUGCUUCUGUCCCACUCCUGCUGAGACCAGGUUCAUUCUUCACAAAGCAGCUCGGAUGCUACUCUCUUUCCUCUUCUGUUGCUCUGACCCACAGCACGGUUAGAUGGUAAAAACGACUAGUACUUUAUAAAGCACUGAGUGCAUGCCCCAGACAUCGUUCUACACAUCUUGACUGAUUUCCUCUAUGUACCAGGAUUACUGUGCCUGUAUUUCCUGCAAACUAAUAGUUUAUGUUUGUGUCUGUCUUCUGUGCGGGACUGGGGCUUCCUUAAAGGAAAGGCUCGUGUAUCAACUGUCUUUCUGUUCCCAGCAUUUAGCACAGCAUUUCACAUGCUGGUUAAUGCAGCUGUGGGAAAAACAGUCGCUGUUCACAUAGUUCUUUAGUACAUUUGUUUAGUAUAUUAAGAAUUAAUGUUUUUUUGUUUGUUUUUGAGAUGGAGUUUCGCUCUGUCACCCAGGCUGUAGUGCAAUGGCGGGAUCUCAGCUCACUGCAGCCUCCUCCCAGGUUCAAGCAAUUCUCCUGCCUCAGCCUCCCGAGUAUCUGGGAUUACAGGAGCCUGCCAGUGUGCCUGGCUAUUUUUUCGUAUUUUUAGUAGAGACAGGGUUUCACCAUGUUGACCAGGCUGGUCUCAAACUCCUUACCUCAAGUGAUCCGCCUGCCUCAGCCUCCCAAAGUGGUGGGAUCACAGGUGUGAGUCACCCUGCCUGGCCAAAAAUGACUUUUGAUUACAUGUGCUGGAAGUUGGUGCCACAAAGGGGACCAGAAGGGGUUUUCCAUAUAAAUGAGGAAUUAAGAUCAUAGCAUGGUACGAAAGUGAUUAUCAGCGAGAAAUAGUCAGUCAGUGCUAUUGGCAUUCCCAGGCCAGUGAGAUUGAUGCCUGGGAUUAAGGGAGAAUUUUGGGGUACAUGACUCCUACUUCAUGCUGUCAAGGUGCUUUCAUCAUUGAUGGGGAGACUUACAUGAAACACGCUUAGGGACACGGACUCCUAGUGUGAGCUAAAUGACCAAAAUAGGGAGGUGUGAGCAGGAACCGAAUUAGGGGUCCAUUCAUUGUGACCUGUGCUGACUUCCAUCAGCAUCAUUUUUCUUAAGUCCCUAUGUCACCCACCUGAAACUUCAAUAGCUGUUUUUCUUUGAGACGAAGUCUAACUCUGUCACCCAGGCUGCAGUGCAGUGGCUUGAUCUCGGCUCACCGCAACCUCUGCCUGGGUUCAAGUGAUUCUCCUGCCUCAGCCUCCCAAGUAGCUGGGACUACAGGCAUGUGCCACCACACCCAGCUAAUUUUUGUAUUUUUAGUAGCAAUGGGGUUUUACCAUAUUGGCCAGGAUGAUCUUGAUCUCCUGACCUCAUUCGUGAUGCACCCACCUCAUUCUCCCAAAGUUUGGGGAUUACAGAUGUGAGCCAUCCUGCCCACCUGAAUAGCUUAUUUGACAGCAUGAUAUUCAGUGUCUUCACAUUUGCUUCGGGAGCCGGCCUUUUUUGCUAGGCACCUGAAUUUCUUGUCUUUCUUUUUGAGACAGGGUCUUAUUCUGUAUCCCAGGCUGUAGUACAAUGGUAUGAUCUCAGCUCACUGCAACCUCCACCUCCCAGGCUGAUGCAUUCCUCCCGCCUCUGCCUCUGGAGUAGCUGGAACUACAGGCGUGCACCACCAAGCUAAUGUUUUUAUUUUUUGUGGAGAUGAAAUCUGUUUCCCAGGCUGGUCUUGAACUCAUGGCUUCAAGUGAUCCACCUGCCUCGGCCUCCCAGCGUGCCGGGAGAUGAUAGACGUAAGCUGCCAGACUGGGGCCUGGGCACCUGCUUUUCUCACCCACAGCUCAGCUGGUUCUCGUUCCUUUUACUGCUUCGAUACUUUCAUAUUUGCUGGCUUAGUUGUUUAUAAUCCCUUCUUUUAAAGAAGUUUUUAUAGUUGAAGUGAAAUACACAUGACAUGAAAUUAACCAUUUUAUAGUGAAUGAUGUGGCAUUUCGUACAUUCACCAUGUUGUGCAGCUACCGAUUCUAUUUUGCCCCAAAACAUUUUCAUUGUCUCAAAGGAAACCCUGAACCCAUUAGGAUACACCUCCCCAUCCAGCCCCUUCCUGCUUUCAGUGGUUAUGGAUUUACGUAUUUUGGGAUUUAACAUGAAUGAAAUCAAGCAAUGUGUGAUUUGUUGUGUCUGGCCUCUUUCACUUAGCAUAGGACUUUCAAGUUUUGUUCAUGAUGUAGCACACAUCAUUAUUUUUUAUGGCUAAGUAAUAUACAUAUAUUUUGCGACAGAGUCUCGCUCUGUCACCCAGGCAGGAGUACAGUGGUGCAACCUCAGCUCACUGCAACCCCUGCCUCCCAGGUUCAAGCAAUUCUCCUGCCUCAGCCUCCCCAGUAGCUGGGACUAUAGGCAUGCACCACCACACCUGACUAAUUUUUAUAUUUUUAAUAGAGACGGAGUUUCCCCAUGUUGGCUAGCUGGUCUUGAACCCCCAACCUUGUGAUCUGCCCACCUCGGCCUCCCAAAGGAGGCCUGGAAUGACAGGCAUGAGCCCCCGUGCCUGGCUGCUAAAUGAGACUUCAUUGUAUGUAUAAACUAUGAUUUGUUCAUCUCUUGAGCUGCUGACGGACGUUUGGAUUGUGUCUCUCUUUUGCCUCCUAUGAAUAGCGCUGCUGUGAACGUGUGUGCACAUGUUUUUCUUGAGUAUUUGUUUUUUAUUCUUUUGAGUAUAGACUUGGAAAUGGAAUUGCUGGAUCAAACGGUGAUUCUGAUGAACUUUGUGAGAACCACCAAAGGCAUUUCUGAGGACAUGGAACCAUUUUACGUUCGCGCCAGUCCAUUGCCCUCCUACCAUCUCUUGCCAAAAUGUGCUUCUCCCAUACGUUAAAACUCUGCUUAAAAACUGUUUCAGUGCUAGGUGCAGUGGCUAAUACCCAUAAUCCUAGCACUUUGGGAGACUGGGGCAGGAAGAUAGCUUGAAGCCAGGAGUUUGAGACCAGCCUGAGCAACAAAAUGAGACUGGCCUCUACAAAACAUUUUUUUAGAAAAAUUAGCCAGAUGUGCUCACAUGUGCCUGUAGUCCCAGCUACUUGGGAGGCUGAGGUGGGAGGAUCACUUGUUCCCAGGGAGUUGGAGGUUGCAGUGAGCUAUGAUUAUACCAGGCACUCCAGCCUGGGCAACAGAGCAAAUCUGACCUUAAAACAAAAACAAUGAAAAAUCCCUAUUUCAUUUCACACUAGUCUGAUUAGAUCUUCAGCUCUUAAGUGUGUAGUGAGGGAAAUUAAGACUUUUGAGAUGGCCAGGUGUGGUGGCUCAUGCCUGUAAUCCCCGUACUUUGGGAGGCUGAGGCAGGCGGAUCACCUGAGGUCAGGAGAUUGAGACCAGCCUCGCCAACAUGGUGAAACCCCAUCUCUAUUAAAAAACUACAAAAAUUGGGAACAGGCGUGGUGGCUCACAUCUGUAAUCCCAGCACUGUGGGAGGCAGAGGUGGACAGAUCACAAGGUCAAGAGAUCGAGACCGUCCUGGCCAACGUGGUGAAACUCUGUCUCUACUAAAAGUACAAAAAAUUAACCGGGCAUGGUGGUGCGUACCUGUUGUCCCAGCUACUCAGGAGGCUGAGGCAGGAGAAUUGCUUGAAACCAGAAAAUGGAAGUUGCAGUGAGCUGGGAUUGCGCCACUGCACUCUAGCCUGGCGAUAGAGCGAGACUCUGUCUCAAAAAAAAAAGCUUUUGAGAUAAGAGACCCAGGUUUGAAGCCGCACUCUGCCAUUUAUGAUUCAGUGAUUUGACUACGUACCCUUCAGGGACUGACUUAUCUUUAUGAGUCUGUUUGCUGAUCUGUCGAGUGGGGUUGAUGGUAAUAGGAUAGAAGAUUGUGUUGUGAGUGUUAAAAGGGUAGGAUAGUGCCGGGCAGGGUGGCUCACGCCUGUCAUCCCAGCACUGUCAGAGGCCGAGGCGGGCAGAUCACCGGAGGCCAGGAGUUUGAGAUCAGCCUGGCCAAUACGGUAAAACCCUAUCUCUAGUAAAAAUAUGUAAAGUAGUCCAUUGGGUGGUGGGCAUCUGUAAUCCCAGCUACUCGGGAGGCUGAGGCGGAAGAAGCACUUGAACCCAGGAGGCGGAGGUUACAGUGAGCUGAGAUUGUGCCACUGCACUCCAGCCUGGGCAACAGAGUGAGACUGUGUCUCAAAAAAAAAGGUUGUAUAUAUGAAGCAGUUUAAUGUGGUGGCUGACACAAAGUGCCCCAGCAGUAAUAAAUUAAUUGCACUCUUGUUGUAUCUUUGAAGUUGUUCUUUUCUCUAGUCAUGUUUGUCUUUCGUUCCACUACAUUUUUUUUUUUUUUUGAGAUGGAGUUUCGCUCCUGUUGCCCAGGCUGGAGUACAGGGGUGCAAUUUCAGCUCACCGCAACCUCAGCCUCCUGGGUAGCUGGGAUUACAGGUAUGCGCCACCAGGCCCAGCUAAUUUUGUAUUUUUAGUAGACGCGCGGGGUUUCUUCACGUUGGUCAAGCUAGUCUUGAACUCCCGACCUCAGGUGAUCUGCCUGCCUUGGCCUCCCAAAGUGCUGGGAUUACAGGCGUGAGCCACCUUGCCUAGCCAAAAGAGACUCUUAUAAAGUAUUGACACACAUGGUUAUAGAAGCUGAGAAACCUCAAGAGCUUCAGUUGGCAAGCUGGAGACCCAGGAAAACGGAUGGUGUGAGUUCCCGCCAAGUCUGAAGGCAGAAGAAGACAAUGUCCCAGCUGGAAGACAGUCAGGCAGAGAGAAUUCUCCUGUACUCCGCAGCUUUUUCUAUUUAGACUUCAGUGGGUUGGGUGAGGCCCACCCACACUGGGGAGAGCAGUCUGCUUUAUACUCUAAGUCUGCUGAUUCAAAUGCUGAUCUCAGCUGGUUGUGGUAGCUCAUGCCUGUAAUCCCAACACGGUCUUGGAGGCCAAGGUGGACGAAUCACCUGAGAUCAGGGGUUCAAGACCAGCCUGGCCAACAUGGCGAAACCUUGUCUCUGCUAAAAAUACAAAAAUUAGCCAGGCAUGGUGGUGGGUACUUGUAAUCCCAGCUACUCAGGAGGCUGAGGCGGGAGACUCGCUUGAGCCCAGGAGGUGGAGGUUGCAGUUAGCCGAGAUGGCGCCACUGCACUCCAGCCUGGGCAACAGAGUGAGACUCUGUCUCAAAAAGAAAAAAUGUUGAUCUCACCCAGAAACUCAGUCACAGACACACUCAGAACCAUGUUUAGUCAAAUAUCAGGGCUUCCUCUAGCUCAGUCAUGUUGACACAUAAGAUUAAGCAUCGCGAGACAGAUCUAUCCAAGAUGGCCGACCACUAACAGCUCAGGAUUGUAGCUCCCAGUGAAAGCUCAGAGAACGAGACGACGCCACAUCAUUAGACGAAUUUUCGUCACUCACCGAUUAGCCGACUCCCAGUGGAGGAGCCCCACGGGUCGCCAGCGCGACUCUUGUGGCCGCUGCAGUGGUUUUGCCGGCGUCUCGGUGCAGCAGCUCUUCACGCAGAGCCAACGGGACCGCUUCCCCUACUGACCAGAGUUUGGAGCUCCGGGAAGUCAGAGCCGCUUGUUGCGGACUCAAGAGGGAAGCCAGACCAGAGAUUCCCGGGCAGAAGAGCACCAUCAGUCUUACUGCUGCUAUUUAGGCUGCCACAGUGGGUGGCUCGGAUCCCAGCACUGGGAAUCAAUAAGUCGGACGUCGACUCAGAAAACUAAUUAGAAAGGCGGGUCAUCCACAAUGAAGGGAAAAAAACAGCCUAAGAAGGCCGAGUAUACUCAAAAUCAGAACCCAUCAGCAACGGAACAAGCCCUGAUGGAAAAGGACUCAUCAGCAACCGAACAAGCCCUGAUGGAAAAGGACUCAUCAGUAACAGAACAAGCCCUGAUGGAAAAGGACUGUGUUCCAUUAUCUGAAGUAGGCUUUAAAAGGUGGAUGAUAAGAAACUUCUGGGAGUUAAAGGAACUUGUUCUAACCCAAUGUAAAGAAACUAAGAACUUGGAAAAAAGGUUCGAUGAAAUGUUGAAAAGAAUAGACAAUAUAGAGAGGAAUACAAAUGAACUUAUGGAGUUGAAAAAUACAACACGAGAACUUAGUGAAAUAUGUACAAGCUUAAACAGCCGAAUGGAUCAAGCAGAAGAAAGGGUAUUAGAGGUCGAAGACCAACUUAAUGAAACAAAACGACAAGACAAGAAUAGAGAAAAAAGGAUAAAAAGGAAUGAGCAAAGUCUCCAAGAAAUAUGGGACUACGUGAAAAGACCUAAUAUACGCUUGAUUGGUGUACCUGAAUGUGACGGAGAGAAUGAAGUCAAGCUGGAAAAUACUCUCCAGGACAUUAUCCAGGAAAAUUUUCCUAAUUUAGCAAAGCAGGACACUAUUCAACCCCAGGCAAUACAGAGAACACCACAAAGAUAUUCCUCAAGAAGACCAACCCCAAGGCACAUAAUCGUUAGAUUCACCAAGAUCGAAACGAAGGAGAAAAUAUUAAGGGCAGCCAGAGAGAAAGAUCAAGUUACCCAUAAAGGUAAGCCUAUUAGGCUUACAGCAGAUCUCUCAACGGAAACCCUACAAGCUAGAAGAGAGUGGGGGCCAAUAUUCAAUAUACUUAAUCAACAGAACUUUCAGCCCAGAAUUUCAUAUCCUGCCAAUUUAAGCUUUACAUUUGAAGGAAAAAUAAAAUCUUUUAGGAACAAGCAAGUACUCAGAGAUUUUAUUACCACCAGGCCUGCUUUACAAGAACUUCUAAAAGAAGCAUUAUACACAGAAAGGAACAACCAGUAUGAUCCUUUCUAAAAAUACACCAAAAAGUAAAGAGCGUUAACAUAAAGAAGAAUUUUUAUCAACAAAAAGACAAAAUAGCCAGUUAAUAUCAAAUGGCAGCAACCCUAAAGUUAAAUCAACCAAAUCUCCCAAUCAAAAGAUACAGACAAAAUCCAACGGUAUAUUCAAAGAUAUACAUAGACUCAAAAUAAAGGGUUGGAAAAAAAAAAAACGUACCAACCAAAUGGAGAGCAAAAAUAAAUAAAUAAAAAGCAGGAGUUGCAAUUUUCACAUUUGACAAAAUAGAUUUCAAAGCUAUAAGGAUACAAGGGUAAAAGGAUUAAUGUAACAAUAAGAGAUCUUAACACGCAGAUACAUAAGACACAUAGAUUUAGAUUCAACGAGACAACAAAUUGAUAACGAUAUCCAGGAUUUGAACUCAGAGCCAGAACAAAUAAACACAAUAGAGGUCUCCAUUUUAAAGACAUAAAAUAUGCAUUAACCACUUUAAAUACUCAAAAUAUUGAUCGGCCAUUAUUGAAACCCAUUUUAGGAAUGAAGUAAUAUUCCUUUUUCCCUCUUUUUCUUUUUUUCCCCUUCUUUUUCUCUUUUUCCCAAAAAAAAAAAAAAAAGAUUUGAUAGGCAGAUAGUCAUCUGAAGCAUUCCAAGAUUCUAUAUUGUACACCUAAAUAAAAAAAAAAAAAAAAAAAAGAUUAAGCAUCGCAGGCUGGCGUUUCCCCCCCUACACUCUCUGUCUCUGUCUCUGUCUCUCUGUAUCUGUAUCUGUCUCUCUCUCUGUCUCUGUCUCUGUACCUGUCUCUGUCUCUCUGUGUCUCUGUCUCUCUCGGUCUCUGUCUGUCUCUCUGUCUCUCUCUUUCUCUCUGUCUCUCUGUCUCUGUCUCUGUCUCUCUCUCUCUCUCUCCUUGUCUUUGAAUGAACUGUGGAGCAUCCUGGCUGCUGAGCACUUGACAGCUUGGGAAAGGCAGGCCGUGGCGAGGACUCCCCACUGUCCCUGCUUCUUGCAUUUGUGUCUUCAAGUUUCUUCCUCAUCCUGUUUUAGGACCACAGCCCUCGACUUUUUUAUUUUUAUUUUUGCCACAGCACACAUGGUGUAUGAAAUUCCAUGCAUGACACACUUCUGUGGGCUUGUCCAAAUUUUGAUAAUUCCUCCCCCAAUCCCUCACCCCCAAGUUUCCCAGGAAAUAAAGCAGAUAGCGCCGUAGACGCUGCAUGAUAUGUUCACAAAAGCGUUUUACAAGCUUGGGAGCAGCUAAUAAGUGUUCAUCAGUAACAGAGUGCAGCUGGAUCCGGGCUGGAUAAAACAUGUCACUUCCAAUUAGCGUCACAUCAGCGUUCUCCAUUCAGGGAAACUUACUGGGAGCAAAUGCAGCCCAGCGCAGUGGCUCACACCUGUAAUCCCAGCACUUUGGGAGGCCGAGGCGGGUGGAUCACGUGAGGUCAGGAGUUUGAGACCAGCUUGGUCAACCUGGUGAAACCCCAUCUCUACUAAAAAUACAAAAGUUAGCUGGGUGUGGUGGCAGGUACCUGUGAUCCCAGCUACUUGGGAGGCUGAGGCGGGAGAAUCACUUGAAUGCAGGAGGCACAGGUUGCAUUGAACAGAGAUCCCGCCACUGCACUCCAGCCUAGUCAACAGAGGGAGACUCCAUCUCAAAACAAAACAAAACAAAAAAAAGCAGAUGCAUAUGCUGUGACUGACCAUUGGAAAACAGAGCAUAUACUAACUGCACUCUGAGUGAUAUUGGUAAUUGAUUGACCUCAGCACUGAGGCGAUCACGUAGACCGGUGUCUAAACCAGAGCUGUGGGAUGCCUGGGAGGUCCUAUGUGUGCCCUUUUAGUUCUUGGUGGCUGCAAAUGUGGCUUCAGCUUAGAGCUGUGCAGACUACCAUGCUUAAAAUAAAAGCAAAUGGCUCCGGAAGUGUGAGAGAUUCCAAACCAUUUGCUCAGGAAGGAAGGCGGGUGGGGUGGGGAUGGCGGGGAUGAGAUUUGUUUCCCAGACACAGUUUCUCUGUUGCACGGGCUUGACUUGGUUCAGCAGCAUCAUCUGCACCUGCCAUCCAGGCUCAAGCCAUGUCCCCACCCGGCCUCUCAGGUAGCUGGGACUACAGGCAUGCGUCAACACACCUGGCUAAUUAUUUGCGUUUUUUGGUAGAGACCAGGUCUCACUGUAUUGUCCAGGCUGGUCUCAAACUCCUGGACUCAAGCAGUCCUCCCUCCUUGGCCUCCCAAAGUUCUGGGAUUACAGGCAUGAGCCACUGAAUUCAGCCAGGAUUUUUCAUUCCACGUGGCCCCCACGUCCCCUGAUGAUUUGUUAGGCCUCCUCACUCAGAUGGUGUAGUAACAGUGAGACUGUUCAGGCCUUCUCGGAAACCCGAGUCCCGCAGCAAAUCCAAGGUGCUUUCCCCGCUAGUGACACACACAGAGCCAGAGCUUUGCUGGGUAACUUUCCCUUUCUCCUGUAAUCCACUGCCUGUCUUUCCGUGCUGGAGAAUUGGGGUCUGAGAGUGAUCGGGAGCCAGACAGAAGCCGGGGUAGUCCCAGGGGUGGCCUGCUGUGUGGUUUCACGGCACUGCUGAUGUUCCAAGCCAGGUGAUUCUUUGCGGUGGGAGGAGCUGUGCUGCGUGUGGUAGAUUGUCACCAGCAUCCUGCUCCGUGUCAGUAACACUCCACUCCCAGAGGCCCGGAGGGAGGACUGUCCAUGGAAUAUGGACGAGUAGAGGGAGUGAAAGAGCAGAGCAAUGAGGAGCUGUUCCCGACGGAUCACACCCCUUCCCUUUUCACUCGCUGCUCUGGGUGACUUAUGGAACUGGGUUCUGUCACCAGGCAUCUUUCCCUUGCUGGGAGGGCUCCCCAAGUGUUUUCACUGAAACCUACAUGUGCCAGUGAUUCUUACAGUAUCUUUCUGAAGUAUUAAGUCUAAAUGCUGUAGAAAUAAUACUCAGAGUAUGUGGAUGUGAACAGGGACACGGGAGCUUUUGCCAAAAGGUCUGGAGGAAAUGGUCCUGUUUGCAGCUCAGAAAUGUGAGAGAGCUUCCGUCAUCAUCUGCAUAGGUUCCUGUCCCUGUUGAUGGGCACAGACACAUCAGGCAGCCCCCUGGAACCUAAAGCUGCUUCCAGAGCUCCCUGAUCAGAGCGCGAGCUGGCGCCUGGUAAGGCAGAAGCUGUGGCUCUCAGUGGUGUCAGGAGCUGCUGGAGCAGCCUCUUCAGGCGUUCUGGCCUUCGAUGUGACCCAGGGUGCAUGGGGCUCCCUGCCAUUUACAGAGAAACAGAUCUGUGCUGGGAAGUUAACAAACAGGAGACAGGAUGUGAGAUGAGGAAGGACUGUCUGUUCAUUGGGGUUCACCCUCGUCUUGAGGUUCAUUGGUGUGGAGGGUCGGACUUAAGAAAAGCAGGAGACUUGUGGAGAAUCCACCCCAGCCCAGCCUUGCAUCUGCAGUGAUAGGAGGCCUGGGAGACCUUUCCCAGGAGACCUUUCCCCCCGGGCGCUGGGCAGCUCCAGCAACUCAGCCUCCAUGUUUUCCGUGCCAUUCCCUGGCCACAGUGAUUUCUGAGUCCUUUCUGUGCAUCCUGAACUUUUUCCUUUCUCUGCUCAUUUUCUCCUCCUGCAGACCCAGGGUGGAUGGCGGAUGCGGCCCAGGUCUGCGCCAUCACUGGUGUGGCCAUGAUGCAGGAAAGGUGGUUUUUGCACCUAGUGAGAGCCCAGGAGGAGCUCCUUCCCCCUGCAGGCUGGAUGACAGUUCCAGGGAGAUGAGGUCAGGGAGAUUUUCUGGUGAUUCUUGUCAGAGUCAGGUGAACAUUGCUGGGAAGGGUGGGUCGGAUAGAGGGCAUCACACGUGCCGAGGUCGGAGGAGAGGUGAAUUCCAGGGGUAGUUUCCAGGGAGGUGGCCUCAGGGAUGGACGGAGGUGGGUCUGGAGCAGUUGCAGGUGUCCAGCCAGGAGAUGAAGCAUUAGAAGCUGCACAGUCGCUACUGGAGGGCAGCACAUGUCCCCACGGUGUCCCCGGAACAGGUUACAUUUCUGUCACCCUGCAGGUCAUUAAUGAGAGCAAGGCAGAACCACACACGACCCCACUUCCAUUUCAACAGCUUCUGCACGCCCUUGUGGCAGAGCUUAUUUUGGGAGCUGGGCAAGCCCUAUUCUGAGCAUAACCUCAAGGGACUGGAAAGAAUUCCCUGGAGAACCUGGAGAACUAACUGACAAAGCUGGCAUCUGUCUUCUUCCCUGGGAAAUGUUUCCACUCACAUGUUCCGACUCCAGCCCGACGCAGGCACCAGCUGAGGGUUUGCAGUAUUUGAAUGUUGGCCCUGCCCUGACCCAUGCGCAAACCAUUUGUUUCACUAAGAAUAUGGAUUUUCAGAUAGCAAACCGAUGAGUUUACAUCCAGAAGCUGGAUUGCUGAUUCAGUUGAAAAGCCUUAGCCUGACAGGGUUAGGCCGAAACUGAACAGCGUCAGAGGCUGCGGGACCUUUUGUUUCAUUAUAAAAGCAGAACUCCACGCACGUACUUAAAAAAUUCACGUGGCACUGAAGGAUAUGACAGAGGUAUAACCCCUCAGCUAUAAUCGCUCUUAAGUUUCAUUUAUGUAUUUAUUGAGACAGGGUCUCUGCUGCCUGGGCUGGAGUGCAGUGGUGCAAUCUCAGCUCCCUGCAACCUCUGCCUCUUGGGUCCAAGGGUUCUCCUGCCUGAGCCUCCUGAGUUGCUGGGACUACAGGUGCCCUCCACCAACUUUUGUAAUUUUUGUAGAGACGGCGUUUCACCAUGUUGGCCAGGCUGAUCUUGAACUCCUGACCACAGGUGAGCUUCCUGCCUUGGCCUCUAAGUGCUGGGAUUACAGGCGUGAGCCACCGUGCCCAGCCUUAAGUUUAUCAUAUACAUCCUUCUGAAGUAUCCUGUAUGGAUACGUGUAUGUGAUAGGUAUUCUCUGUCCUCUUAACAAAAGAAACCUUUGAUUUAAAAAGAAGCUAACAUCUUGUCAACCUUUUCCUGUUGGCAUAGGCUGAUCUGCUUUAGUCAUAAUAACAGAAUUGUAUUCUAUUUAAUGUCUAGAGCAUAAUUUACUUGCCCACUGCUCGAUACAUGGGUAUUUCACCCCUUCCUUUACCUUUGGCUGUUAUAAAUAACUCUAUGAUGAACGUGGUUGUGAUACAGCUUUGCACACUUCACGCAUGCGUAUCUGUGAAUUGGAAUCAACCAAAGAAGACAUACCUUAUUAACUUUGAUAGACGUUGCCAGGGUCCUUCUUGGAGGACAGAGAAUGUCGUUGCUUUAUAGAAAAUGUGUGACUCGGCCGGGCGCAUGGCUCACGCCUGUAACCCCAGCACUUUGGGAGGCCGAGGCGUGUGGAUCACCUGAGGUUGGGAGUUUGAGACCAGCCUGACCAACAUGGAGAAAUCCCAUCUCUACUAAAAAUACAAAAUUAGCCAGGCGUGGUGGUGCAUGCCUAUAAUCCCAGCUACUCAGGAGGCUGAGGCAGGAGAAUCACUUGAACCUGGGAGGCAGAGAUUACGGUGAGCUGAGAUCAGGCCACUGUACUCCAGCCUGGGCAACAAGAGCGAAUCUCCCUCUCAAAAAAAAAAAAAAGAAAAUGUAUUAACUCCAGCUUUUGACAGCCAGCCUAAAAUACCAAUAGUUUCCCUUGCCCAGAAAAUGCUGCUCUUGAUACAGAGAAUGUCAGCUGUGUGUUGCUGCUGGAAGGCAGCACAGGGAGAGGAGACAGGUAAGACGUUGGGCAGGAAAGACGGCUUCUGGGAAUGGUGCUUUCCUCCUGGACUCAAUACAUGUAGACAAGACAAUCUGUUUAGUCCCAUCUCCUGAUUUUACAUAAAACCAGGUUUCGUUCCAGCUCUGAGAUCCGGAGCCUGACUGCCAGGGCAGACUGAAGCAGGAGGUAAAAUGCCAGAAUCCAUCCUUUAAUUUCUAGAUUCUUUAUUUUUUCUAUUUGUUUAUUUAUUUUGUAUUUUUUCAGUCAGAGUCUUGCUCUGUCACCCAGUCUGGAGUGCCGUGGCACGAUCUCAGCUCACUGCAACCUCGUCCUCCCUGGUUUAAGUGAUUCUCCUGCCUUAGCCUCCUGAGUAGCUGGGAUUAUAGGUGCCCAUCACCACGCCCGGCUAAUUUUUGUAUUUUCAGUAGAGACAGCAUUUCACAAUGUUGGCUAGGCAGGUCUCAAACUCCUGACCUCAGGAGUUUAGUAGAGACGGUGAUCUGUCUGCUUCGGCCUCCCAAAGUGCUGGGAUGACAGGUGUGAGCCACCACGCCUGGCCGGUUCUUUAUGUUUCCAUCAGCACUAUAUGAGAGAGAAGGCCUAGGGGUACCUGGCCCUUCCCUGGGCAGCAGAUGGACCAAACACCUCCUGGGUUGCCUCUGUUAUCAAGAGAUUCGCAGCAGCAUCCUUAACUGUGCUGUCUCCUCUGCCCCGUGGAUGGCAAACACGUUUCUUCACGAGGUCCCUUAAUUAGAAGAGCCUGAGUGAGUGUUGGGGUGUUACAGUUUCUGUUAUAAUCGGGUUGGAAAGGAUCUCGUUGUGGAAGUCAGGUCAAAAGUUGUCUUACAUGUUAGAGCAGAGAAUGAUCUGGAGAGGGAGGGAAAUGCAAGGCAGGUUCCUCCAAAGCCUCAGGUGCCUCAUGGGAGAAACAGCCUGUACUACCAAGGCAGCCAUGCGAAUGGGCAGAGCCCUCUCUGUGUCUCGGUUCUGUUUCUUUGCCUACAGCCCACCCUCCUGACCUGAUACCAUUGUGCUUGGGGUCUUAUCCCAUGGGACACAGAACUGGGGAACAUGGAUAGGUCUAAGCUAGCACUCACCACACUUGGGCACAUUUAAGAAUCAACACUUUGAACAACCAUGGUUUUGAUUCCCUGAGAAGGAAAAGGAUUAAGACUUACUCUCCCUACACCCAACUUUUUAUAUUGGGAAAUGUCAGACCUACAGAAAAGUGGAAGACAAGUACAAUGAAUGUCCAUCCUGUACCCGCCCCCUCAGCUGAGCAAUGGUGAACAUGUCACAGUGACUGUCAUGUACCCGCCCCCUCAGCUGAGCAAUGGUGAACAUGUCACAGUGACUGUCAUGUACCUGCCCCCUCAGCUGAGCAGUGGUGAACAUGUCACAGUGAAUUCCAAGCUUGUGCCUGCCUCCUCAGCUGAGCAAUGGUGACGAUGUCACAGUGACUGUCUAUCCUGUACCUGCCCCCUCAGCUGAGCAGUGGUGACUAUCGUGUACCCACCCCCUCAGCUGAGCUAUGGUGACCGACCAUGUUGCCACAUUCAGUUCCCAGCUAUUGCUGCUGCUGAUCUGGGAACACACUGUGUGAACCUUUUGUAAGCCUCUACCUGUGUGUGAGGAGUGGAUAUAUUUUUUCCCUGAACGACAGUUGACCCCUGAAUGACA